rnacentral:rRNA from 1 species
UACGAAGGGCGCAAGCGUUACUCGGAACUACUGGGCGUAAAGCGUGCGUAGGUGGUUCGUUAAGUCUGUCGUGAAAGCCCCGGGCUCAACCUGGGAAUGGCGAUGGAUACUGGCGGGCUAGAGUGCGGUAGAGGGUGGUGGAAUUCCCGGUGUAGCAGUGAAAUGCGUAGAGAUCGGGAGGAACACCAGUGGCGAAGGCGAGUCCCUGGACAACUCCUGACACUGAGGCACGAAAGCUAGGGGAGCAAACAGG